UCUUUUUCUAGUUAUCUGGGAUUGUUACAGUCUGGUAUUUUAGUUUCGUGUUCGACAACUGAAGGUACAGCAUUGACGCUCAGAAUUUAAUCAGAAUGUUGGAUAUCAAAUUAUUCGUGUUUUGUUUGGUUGUUCUACGAAUUGUUUUGACGGCAACAGCAAUGGCCGCGCCGCCUAUCCAACGACCGCCACCAAUGCAUCACCAUCAUCAUACAUUUAUUGAAGGCGAUUCUGAUUUGCUGGAAACUUGAUGUAUCGCGGACUGGAACCUGAAAUAUGAUAGUUUAUUUGGCUCAUGUUUCAGUGAUUUAAUAAAGAAAUAUGAGUGAUAA